rnacentral:tRNA from 1 species
GUGGGUAUAGCUCAGUGGCAAGGCGCAUGCUUAGCAGGCACGAGGUCCUGGGUUCCAUCCCGAGUACCUCCA